rfam:Pteropus alecto contig59418, whole genome shotgun sequence.
GUCUACAGCCAUGCUCCCCUGAACAAGCCUGAUCCCGACGGAUCUCGGAAGCUAAGCAGGGUCAGGCCUAAUUAGGACUUGGACUGGAGACCAUCUAGCCCGAGCAGGUGCUGUAGGUG